rnacentral:rRNA from 1 species
GGCUGGCGCAUGCUUUAACAUGCAGUCGAACGGCAGCACGGGGGCAACCCUGGUGGCGAGUGGCGAACGGGUGAGUAAUGCAUCGGAACGUGCCCAGUAGUGGGGGAUAGCCCGGCGAAAGCCGGAUUAAUACCGCAUACGACCUGAGGGUGAAAGCGGGGGACCGUAAGGCCUCGCGCUAUUGGAGCGGCCGAUGUCAGAUUAGCUAGUUGGUGGGGUAAAGGCUCACCAAGGCGACGAUCUGUAGCUGGUCUGAGAGGACGACCAGCCACACUGGGACUGAGACACGGCCCAGACUCCUACGGGAGGCAGCAGUGGGGAAUUUUGGACAAUGGGCGCAAGCCUGAUCCAGCCAUGCCGCGUGCGGGAAGAAGGCCUUCGGGUUGUAAACCGCUUUUGUCAGGGAAGAAAAGCUCUGGGCUAAUACCUCGGAGUGAUGACGGUACCUGAAGAAUAAGCACCGGCUAACUACGUGCCAGCAGCCGCGGUAAUACGUAGGGUGCAAGCGUUAAUCGGAAUUACUGGGCGUAAAGCGUGCGCAGGCGGUUGUGCAAGACAGAUGUGAAAUCCCCGGGCUCAACCUGGGAACUGCAUUUGUGACUGCACGGCUGGAGUGCGGCAGAGGGGGAUGGAAUUCCGCGUGUAGCAGUGAAAUGCGUAGAUAUGCGGAGGAACACCGAUGGCGAAGGCAAUCCCCUGGGCCUGCACUGACGCUCAUGC